GACGAACGCUGGCGGCGUGCUUAACACAUGCAAGUCGAACGGAAAGGCCCUGCUUUUGUGGGGUGCUCGAGUGGCGAACGGGUGAGUAACACGUGAGUAACCUGCCCUUGACUUUGGGAUAACUUCAGGAAACUGGGGCUAAUACCGGAUAGGAGCUCCUGCUGCAUGGUGAGGGUUGGAAAGUUUCGGCGGUUGGGGAUGGACUCGCGGCUUAUCAGCUUGUUGGUGGGGUAGUGGCUUACCAAGGCUUUGACGGGUAGCCGGCCUGAGAGGGUGACCGGCCACAUUGGGACUGAGAUACGGCCCACACUCCUACGGGAGGCAGCAGUGGGGAAUAUUGCACAAUGGGAGGACGCCUGAUGCAGCAACGCCGCGUGCGGGAUGACGGCCCUCGGGUUGUAAACCGCUUUCGCCUGUGACGAAGCGUGAGUGACGGUAAGGGGUAAAGAAGCACCGGAUAACUACG
rnacentral:rRNA from 1 species